rnacentral:rRNA from 1 species
GACGAACGCUGGCGGCGUGCUUAACACAUGCAAGUCGAACGGAAAGACCCUGCUUUUUUGGUGUUCUCGAUUGGCGAACGGGUGAGUAACACGUGAGUAACCUGCCCUUGACUUUGGUAUAACUUCAGGAAACUGGGGCUAAUCCCGUAUCGGAGCUCCUGCUGCAUGGUGGGGGUUGGAUAUUUUCGGCGGUUGCGGAUGGACUCGCGGCUUAUCAGCUUGUUGGUGGGCGAGUUGCUUACCCAGGCUUUGACGGGUAGCCGACCUGAGAGGGUGACCGGCGACAUUGGGACUGAGAUACGGCGCAGAGUCGUACGGGAGGCAGCAGGGGGGAAUAUUGCACAAUGGGAGGAAGCCUGAGGAAGAAACGCUGCGUGCGGGAUGACGGCCUUCGGGUUGUAAAAAGCUUUAGGCUGUGACGAAGCGUGAGUGACGGUAAUGGGUAAAGAAGCACCGGCUAACUACGUG